AUUCCUUUUUUGAUGACUGGUGUACAUAGGCAACUUAGAAUUUUCACUUUUUUAUUUAAACUCCUUGAAGAUUUUAAAUAUGCUGAAUGUGAAAAACUAUGUUAUAGCCUUCCGAUCCCCUUAUCCUUUUGCUAGUAUUAGCCUGAGAUAUAGAAAUUGUUGCUUGUCACUGUUAAGAAUCUUCCUGCCUGUUAUUGGUAGUUGGCUGACUGAUGUAAAUAAGAACUUCUUCUUAUCAAAUGCAAGAUUAGCUAAGGAAUCUGCAAGCUGGCUGACUUCCUUGAAGAUAUGCCUUAUUUCUACUUGCUUGUUUUGUAACAAUCUCUUUAUUUAUUCCACUGUAUUUGCUAUCUUCCAUGGUUUCACUAUUUAUUCAUCAUCCAAACAGAUUCACUAGCAAUGCAGAGAUUCUUAAGUCAUAAAUUGGAUGUACCAUGGAAGAUAGCAGAUACAGUGGAAUAAAAUGCCAAUGAAUUGCUUCUCGGGUUUCCUUUUGAGGCUCCAUCUGUAUUGUAUUUACUCUAACCCUACUCUGACAAUUCCCAAAGUACAACGUAGCUGUAACUCUAGGUUUUAGUUGAUUGAGCUGAAGUAAAGUCAUUGGCCAAUCCAUUGCAAAUUCCAAUGUUGCUUUCCUCACCUUCCGUAACAUCCUUAAGUGUUUUGUAACAUUGAAUAUCAAUCU
rnacentral:lncRNA from 1 species